AAAUAACGUAAUUCCAUGAAAAUUCUUCUAAGAGAAAAACUUCCCCUCGUAGCUUUCCUUCAUUUUCGGGCAAAACGUUUCUCUUCCGUUUACCAAAUUAUGAUCAAUCCACUUGUCUCUUUCCUCUCGAUCUCUCGAUCUCUCUCUCUGGUCACGCUCGAGAGAGAAAGAAAAAAAUCCACUUGUCUCUUUUUCUACAAGAGUAAUGUAAGGAAAAUUGAGAAUUCCUUACUUUUCUCUUCCUUCUCAAGAUUCAAAAUCAACAGAUACACAUCACAUCAAUUUGAGAUGUGGGUUUGUGUGAAUGUUGCAUAAAUGGGGAAGAAAAUGGAUCAAAAGAGAAAUGGGUAUUUGAUAUUGUCGUUGUUGGUUUUGAUAGUAGCUGUGAAGGGUGAAAAUUUGGUGUUCAAUGUGAAGCAUAAAUAUGGUGGGCGUAAUAAAGGGUCGAUUUUGAAUGAUCUUAAAGCGCAUGAUAGCCGCCGUCACGGCAGAAUGCUCACCUCCGUUGAAUUCAAAUUGGGUGGCAAUGGCUCUCCCACUGAUGCCGCGCUCUAUUACACUAAGUUAUCUAUUGGAACGCCUUCAAAGGAAUAUCAUGUCCAGGUUGAUACUGGAAGUGACAUUUUAUGGGUGAACUGUGCUGGCUGUGAGGGAUGUCCUACAAAAAGCGAUCUCGGAAUAGACUUGACGCCGUAUGACUUGAAGGCCUCUACAACUGCAAAAUCUGUUUCUUGUGACGAAGAGUUUUGCAUGCUUAAUACUCCCUCGGAUUGCAAGGUGGGAAUGCCAUGUGAUUAUCAGGUUAGUUAUGGAGAUGGAAGCUCAACCUCAGGAUUCUUUGUAAAGGAUGAUAUUCGGUUUGAUCAAGUAUCAGGAGACCUAAAAACAACAUCUAUGAACGGGUCUAUAGCAUUUGGGUGCUCGUCUAGACAAGAACUAAGUAAUCCUAGUCAAGCAGUUGAUGGAAUACUUGGUUUUGGACAAGCAAGUUCAUCCGUUAUUUCGCAGCUAGCUGCAGCCGGGAAGGUGAAGAAAAUAUUUGCACAUUGCCUAGAUGGAAAGAAUGGAGGUGGCAUAUUUACCAUUGGACAAGUAGUUCAGCCAAAAGUAAAUUCAACACCACUAGUCCCUGAUUCGCCACACUAUAAUGUUGUUAUGAAAGGAAUUGAGGUUGGUGGUGAAGUUCUAGACAUUCCCACAACCAUCUUCGACACGAAAUCCAGUAUGACAAUAAUUGACAGUGGCACAACCUUAGCAUAUCUUCCGAACAUGGUCUACAGUGCUCUCAUCUACAAGUUGAUGGAACGGCAACCACAGUUGAGUAUUCAUCUUGUUGAGGGGAGUUUCCGCUGCUUUGACUACAACGGGAAGAUUGAUGAUGGGUUCCCAGUUGUAACAUUCCGCUUUGCAGAUUCGCUUUCUUUGACAGUUUAUCCCCACGAUUAUCUUUUCCAAGUCACAGAGAGUCGAUGGUGUAUUGGUUGGCAAGACAGUGGAGGAAUGCAGGCAGAGGAUGGAAUAGCAAUAACUCUGUUAGGAGUGGCCGGCAUCGCCCGCUCCUCCUAGGGUGCUGCCUCCUUCGUUUUUCUGAAAUUUGUUCAGAUCCAAGAAAGCCAGAAGAAAGAGAAGGGAGAUGGCUGUGGGACAAAGUGAGAAAACAGCGGAGGAGGGAGCAGAUUGGAGAAGGGUGGCGGUGGCGAUAGUGAUGGUUGAGCAGGUUAUGGCGUAGAGGGGAUGCUGUAGGGCAGCCGUGGGUGUUGGUGGUAUCAGAGGUGGCAGAUUUGAGCGGAAUUUUUGGAGAAGGGCCUAAAAAGUUUAAAAAAUAGUUCCUAUCUCUUGCACACAUGGUGUUAAGAGGCUAUUUAUUUUGGCUUGCAUUUGUCUUCUCACGUGCUAGAUGGACGUGCAUACAUUGCUAACACGACGCCAGCUCUAAGGGUAGUAUUUAUUCCACUUUAAAAUAGUCAGAGGGCAAUAGGACCUCCCAAAAGUACAGAUCUUGUGUUAUCAAACAAGCUAGUUCUGUAUGAUGUCGAAAGCCAGACCAUUGGUUGGACUGAGUACGACUGCUCUUCAACCAUCCAA